ACAAAAUAUUAAUUUAAAAAUACAUUUCCUUGGCAGUGGUGGUAUAUAUAUCUAAGAAAAAUGAUAUAUAUAUAUAUAACAAAGUGUACACAUAAAUAAGUUUUCCACUUUUGUGGGAUUUUUGAGGUUUUUUUGUUUUUACUUAUUGUGUGUGAGGUGGGGGUUGGAGUGGUCACAGGCCACAGCUCGUGUGGUGGCCAGAGGAUGGCUUGUAGGGACUGCUUCUCUCCUUCCGCCGUGCGGGUUCUGCUUGUCAGCCUGGCUGGCAGCAAAUGCCUUUACUUACUGAGACAUUGUGUUAGUCCAUGAUUUUGUUCUUUUGAGACAGGGUUUUCCCUUCAUUGCCCCGGCUAGCCUGCAGCUGCAUCCCUAGUGCCAGCCUCCCUGAGGAGUGCUAGCUUUACAGGAGUUUACCGCCCACUCAGAAUACUCCUGUGCUCUUGUUUCCACAGGAAAGCAACUAUUUGUCCUAUCUAUGUCAUUAGGAAUAUUUAUGCUUAAACAGGCAUAUGCAUUAAUAUUCCCUGUAUCAGCUCUAUAGGCCAAUGGUUUAUAUAUACAAGCCUGUUUCUGUUGAUUUUGCUGUAUUAUAGAUCAAAUGUAGGGCCUUGUGCCUACCCUGCAAAUACUCUACCCCUGUGACAUCCCAGCCAGUUUAUUCUGUAUAUGUAAAAUAUCUACUACCACCCUACCCCUUUUCUGUUUUGCCGCUGGGAACUAUACUCGGGACAUUACACCUACCAGGUACUGCACCCACGUCCUUUUAGUUAAAUUAACUAAUUUAUUUAUUUUGGAGUUUUGUAGGACAGAAUUUCACUAGAGAUCAAGCUGGAUUGAACUUGGCCAUCUGAACUUUUUUGUUUCUUUUUUUUUCUCUGUAUGUGUGUGUGUUUGGAGACAGGAUCUCCUGUAACUCAGGCUCACCUCAAGCUCAGUUUGUAGCACAGGCUGGCCUUGAACUUCUGAUCUUCUCCUCUACUUCCCAAGUGCUAGUUUAACAGAUAUGUACCAGUUUAGGAGUUUUACUUUAAAGCCCCUACCUUUUAUAGAAAGAGUGUUAAUGGAUCCCUGUAAAUGAACUUGAUCAUCGCUGUUCAGCCUACUCUCCAGACAGGAGCUGGCCUUUUGCUCUACGUAGUAUUUUAUCAUUGAGCUCAGGUAACUCCAGGUGUGACCUAGAAAAACAAGCUACUGACUGGGAGAAUUUCAGAUCUGGCACUCAGUUUUCAAUACAGAAGGGACACUGAAGCAGAUGGCAGGUUCAUUUCUAUAUCAUUUCUGUAUUGUUGGUUUAACACUGAAUAUGGUGUCGUUCUCUAUCCCCUCUGCACCCCCCCCCCAUUUUAUUUUUUUGACAGGGUCUCUCUUCUUUGUUCUAGCUGUUCUAAAACUCACUAUGUAGACCAGGUUUACCUCAAACUCAGGUCCAAUUGCCUCUGCCUUCUCUGUGCUGAGCUUAAAGGCCACCAACUCUGUUGCUUUCCUUUUUUCAUUUUUUUUUUUUUAAGAUUUAUUUUAUGUAUAUGAGUACACCAUUGCUCUCUUCCGACACACCAGAAGAGGGCACCAGUUCCCAUUAUAGAUGGUUCUGAGUCACCAUGUGGUUGCUGGGAAUUGAACUCAGGACCUUGGGAAGAGCAGCGGUGCUUUUAACUGCUGAGCCAUCUCCAGCCCUCUUUUUUUCAUUCCUAAAGCCACUACUGGAAGUUAAGAAGCAGAGGAACUCCAAACAUAACAGUGUAAUAAAAUUUCUCUAAAUUAAAUGAGUGUUAAAGCCACUACAAGCUAAUGAAGGAAUAAAAGCCAUUUGUUUGUUUUUUGUUUUUUUGGUUUUUCGAGACAGGGUUUCUCUGUAUAGCCCUGGCUGUCCUGGAACUCCCUCUGUAGACCAGGUGGACUUCAAACUUACAGAGAUCUGCCUGCCUCUGCCUUCUGAGUGCUGUGAUUAAAAGCAUGCACCUGCCUCUGCCAUCUCUCCAGCCCCUUGUUUAAUUUUAAGCUGGGUUUGGUGGUAGAAGCAAAAGAAUCGGGUGUUCAAGGCCAUUUUCAGAUAUAGAUCAAAUUCAAAGUCAGUCUCUUAAUAAUAAUAACUCAUAGUGGCAUUAAAAAUAGAAUUUACGCUGGGCAGUGGUGGCGCACGCCUUUAAUCCCAGCACUUGGGAGGCAGAGGCUGGUGGAUUUCUGAGUUCAAGGCCAGCCUGGUCUACAAAGUGAGUUCCAGGACAGCCAGGGCUACACAGAGAAAAGUUGACGCAGUCAGAACUCAGCAGCUACCAUAGGAAGGAGAAACAGCUGUACCUGGGCAUGUUUGGUUAAUGAAGAAAAGAGACAUUUCUCAACUUGAACUCAAGUGGACAAGCAAAGGCCCAUUGGGGAAUCUGAGCCUCACUCAGCAAAAGGAGUUCACCCUUUACCUCUGACCCAGGUGGAUUUCCAUUUUGUUUCCUGUUCUGCACAAGUUCUUUGCUCCUUAGACCAUCUGCAUCGUUUAUUGUCUGUCCCCUAGUGUAUUUGUAUGGCUUACAAUCUGAGAACAUUCAUCGACUGUGGGUGGAAUCAACUGUAUUUGUGGCAUAGAUUUAAUGGGGUGUUAUUAAAUGUUCUCAGACACAGAGGAGAGGGCCGGUGAAGGGUGAGAGAGUAAGGACAGGCAAACAGGAAUCUUCUGUAGUAUCUUCAGAUGCUUUUGUUUUGCUUAGUGGGAUUUUUUUUUCUUUUAAUUAUAAAUUGAGCCCAAGUAUAUUUACAUUAAAGAUUUGAAAUUAGCUGGGUGUGGUGGCGCACACGUUUAGUCCCAGCACUUGGGGGAGUCAGGCAGAUUUCUGAGUUUGAGGCUAGUCUGGUCUACAGAGUGAGUUCCAGGACAGCCAGGGCUACACAGAGAAACCCUGUCUGGAAAAACCAAAAACAAACAAACAAAAAAAGAUUUGAAAUUAAUCAUUUUAGGGCUAAGGCUGUAGCUCAGUGGUAGAGUGCUCGCCUAGCACGAAUAAGGCCCUGGGUUUAAUUCCCCAGUGCUACAAAACCAACCAACG
rnacentral:lncRNA from 1 species